rnacentral:rRNA from 1 species
GACGAACGCUGGCGGCGUGCUUAACACAUGCAAGUCGAACGGAAAGGCCCUGCUUUUGUGGGGUGCUCGAGUGGCGAACGGGUGAGUAACACGUGAGUAACCUGCCCUUGACUUUGGGAUAACUUCAGGAAACUGGGGCUAAUACUGGAUAGGAGCUCCUGCUGCAUGGUGGGGGUUGGAAAGUUUCGGCGGUUGGGGAUGGACUCGCGGCUUAUCAGCUUGUUGGUGGGGUAGUGGCUUACCAAGGCUUUGACGGGUAGCCGGCCUGAGAGGGUGACCGGCCACAUUGGAACUGAGAUACGGCCCAGACUCCUAGGGGAGGCAGCAGUGGGGAAUAUUGCACAAUGGGCGGAAGCCUGAUGCAGCAACGCCGCGUGCGGGAUGACGGCCUUCGGGUUGUAAACCGCUUUCGCCUGUGACGAAGCGUGAGUGACGGUAAUGGGUAAAGAAGCACCGGCUAACUACGUG